UACGUAGGGACCAAGCGUUGUUCGGAUUUACUGGGCGUAAAGGGCGCGUAGGCGGCAAUUCAAGUCAUCUGUGAAAUCUCCGGGCUUAACCCGGAACGGUCAGAUGAUACUGCUUUGCUAGAGUGCGGAAGGGGCAAUCGGAAUUCUCGGUGUAGCGGUGGAAUGCGCAGAUAUCAGGAGGAACACCGAUGGCGAAGGCAGGUCUCUGGGCCAGUACUGACACUGAGAAGCGAAAGCAUGGGGAGCGAACAGG
rnacentral:rRNA from 1 species